CACGUAGGGCGCAAGCGUUGUCCGGAAUUAUUGGGCGUAAAGAGCUCGUAGGCGGUCUGUUGCGUCCGCUGUGAAAACCCGGGGCUUAACCCUGGGCUGGCAGUGGAUACGGACAGACUAGAGGUAGGUAGGGGAGAAUGGAAUUCCCGGUGUAGCGGUGAAAUGCGCAGAUAUCGGGAGGAACACCGGUGGCGAAGGCGGUUCUCUGGGCCUUGACUGACGCUGAGGCGCGAAAGCGUGGGGAGCAAACAGG
rnacentral:rRNA from 1 species